UCAGGCCUAACACAUGCAAGUCGAGCGGGGUUUUCGGACCUAGCGGCGGACGGGUGAGUAAUGCGUAGGAAGCUACCCGACAGAGGGGGAUACCAGUUGGAAACGACUGUUAAUACCGCAUAAUGUCUACGGACCAAAGUGUGGGACCUUCGGGCCACAUGCUGUCGGAUGCGCCUACGUGGGAUUAGCUAGUUGGUGAGGUAAUGGCUCACCAAGGCGACGAUCCCUAGCUGGUUUGAGAGGAUGAUCAGCCACACUGGAACUGAGACACGGUCCAGACUCCUACGGGAGGCAGCAGUGGGGAAUAUUGGACAAUGGGCGCAAGCCUGAUCCAGACAGUGCCGCGUGUGUGAAGAAGGCCUUCGGGUGUAAAGAAAGGCAGCGAGGAGGAAGGGGUUUAGUAAUAGCUGCAACCUUGA
rnacentral:rRNA from 1 species